CACUGGCUGAAGUUCGAGGCUGCCACAGUAUGCGUGGGAGCACGACUGGAUUAAGUGCUGUGCCUUAGCAAGCGUCUCUGAGUUGCACUGGAAUUGAUAAUUAUGCAGCUUUGUGUAUCAAGUAAUAAUAGUAGGGAGCUAUAGUAUAGGCAUUGAAGCAAUGGAUUUAUAUUUUAUAAUUUUGGAAAAUGGUUUCAAUUAUACUAAGAUAAUUAAGAAGGUACGAUAUUUAAUUAUGUAGAAUUGGUUUAGCAAUUCUUUAAUGAUAGGUAUUUUGCUGAUUAGAACCUUUAAAUUUAGUUUAUUAAGACUUUCAAGUCGUUAUUAGAGCAUGAGAUGCGAAAAUAGUUUAGACAACUUGUAUGCCAAUAGUAAAAUAGCUUUGGGUAUUUGAAGGUAAGGAACGGGCUCACUUUGUCUUGGUAUCUCCGUGGGCUGCGAUCCUUUUUCUGUUUCGUCGGCGAUGAUGCGGCAGUUUUUGUACGUCUUUGUUGGUUGCGUUGUACAGGUAGAAUUGUUCACGGUCGCCACUAUGUUGGCGCACCACGCCGGAUUUGUAGGUUUACUUGUGGCCGAGAUCCAUCGGAUUUGGCGGAGGUGUAUUAAUUACAAUAAAACAGGAAAUAUAACUUUUUACAUUAUUAAUUUAUGAAUUCGACCAGCAAUGAAAAUUGGUUACAAAAGACAAAGAAGA